AGUGAACGCUGGCGGUAGGCCUAACACAUGCAAGUCGAACGGCAGCACAGGAGAGCUUGCUCUCUGGGUGGCGAGUGGCGGACGGGUGAGGAAUAUAUCGGAAUCUACUCUGUCGUGGGGGAUAACGUAGGGAAACUUACGCUAAUACCGCAUACGACCUACGGGUUAAAGCAGGGGACCUUCGGGCCUUGCGCGAUUGAAUGAGCCGAUGUCGGAUUAGCUAGUUGGCGGGGUGAAGGCCCACCAAGGCGACGAUCCGUAGCUGGUCUGAGAGGAUGAUCAGCCACACUGGAACUGAGACACGGUCCAGACUCCUACGGGAGGCAGCAGUGGGGAAUAUUGGACAAUGGGCGCAAGCCUGAUCCAGCCAUACCGCGUGGGUGAAGAAGGCCUUCGGGUUGUAAAGCCCUUUUGUUGGGAAAGAAAUCCAGCUGGCUAAUACCCGGUUGGGAUGACGGUACCCAAAGAAUAAGCACCGGCUAACUUCGUGCCAGCCGCCGCAGUAA
rnacentral:rRNA from 1 species